rnacentral:rRNA from 1 species
UACGUAGGAUCCGAGCGUUGUCCGGAUUUACUGGGUGUAAAGGGCGUGUAGGUGGACCUUUAAGUCGAUGGUGAAAUCCUGCGGCUCAACCGCAGAAUUGCUUUCGAAACUGGAGGUCUUGAGUGCGGCAGAGGGAGAUGGAAUUCAUGGUGUAGCGGUGAAAUGUGUAGAUAUCAUGAAGAACACCGGUAGCGAAGGCGGUCUCCUGGUCCGCAACUGACACUGAGGCGCGAAAGCGUGGGGAGCAAACAGG